AAAUUGAAGAGUUUGAUCAUGGCUCAGAUUGAACGCUGGCGGCAGGCCUAACACAUGCAAGUCGAACGGUAACAGGAAGCAGCUUGCUGCUUCGCUGACGAGUGGCGGACGGGUGAGUAAUGUCUGGGAAACUGCCUGAUGGAGGGGGAUAACUACUGGAAACGGUGGCUAAUACCGCAUAACGUCGCAAGACCAAAGAGGGGGACCUUCGGGCCUCUUGCCAUCAGAUGUGCCCAGAUGGGAUUAGCUAGUUGGUGAGGUAACGGCUCACCAAGGCGACGAUCCCUAGCUGGUCUGAGAGGAUGACCAGCCACACUGGAACUGAGACACGGUCCAGACUCCUACGGGAGGCAGCAGUGGGGAAUAUUGCACAAUGGGCGCAAGCCUGAUGCAGCCAUGCCGCGUGUAUGA
rnacentral:rRNA from 1 species